rnacentral:tRNA from 1 species
GCCCCAGAUGAACUCCAUGGAAACACAAAUAUCGAACUUCUAAUCCGACGGUUGUGCGUUCGAAUCGCACCAGGGGCGCCA